GACAAACGCUGGCGGCGUGCUUAACACAUGCAAGUCGAACGGAAAGGCCCUGCUUUUGUGGGGUGCUCGAGUGGCGAACGGGUGAGUAACACGUGAGUAACCUGCCCUUGACUUUGGGAUAACUUCAGGAAACUGGGGCUAAUACCGGAUAGGAGCUCCUGCUGCAUGGUGGGGGUUGGAAAGUUUCGGCGGUUGGGGAUGGACUCGCGGCUUAUCAGCUUGUUGGUGGGGUAGUGGCUUACCAAGGCUUUGACGGGUAGCCGGCCUGAGAGGGUGACCGGCCACAUUGGGACUGAGAUACGGCCCAGACUCCUACAGGAGGCAGCAGUGGGGAAUAUUGCACAAUGGGCGGAAGCCUGAUGCAGCAACGCCGCGUGCGGGAUGACGGCCUUCGGGUUGUAAACCGCUUUCGCCUGUGACGAAGCGUGAGUGACGGUAAUGGGUAAAGAAGCACCGGCUAACUACGUG
rnacentral:rRNA from 1 species